GGGGGCGCCGAGACCCCGUUCCCGAAGGUGAUUGGUCGCAGGAGGGGGGGCAGGCGGGAGGAGCGGAGCCCGCCCCGGGGCCUGCGGGAACCGCUAGGUCCGGCUGCCACCUAGCGGACGGGAGCCGCUGGCAGGCGGCACGCCGCCGAGUCCCUCCCCUCCCCGCUGGCAGCCUGCUCUCCAAACCAAGGCAGCACUUUGAAAAUUCUUUCAAUGGGUUUUUUUUCCUUGAAAGAUCGCACUGGGGGAAAACGAUACUUCUAUUAGUUACAUAUUCUCCAAUCCCACACUCGCACCCCCCUCGUGAGAGGAGCGCUCCCCUAGGCAGGCUCAGGCGGGCGCGGAGCGCGGCGUGACAAAGCAGCGGCUGCCACCGCCCGGAGUGGGAGUCCCUCCUGCCAGCCCACCGCUCGACGCGGGAGAGCGUAAAAGUUUGUCUCUGCUCAAGCGUUCCGAGCGCCCCCAGAGACAAGGAGUCGUGAGCAGCGGAGCGGAGCAGAGAAAGGGAGGCUGGGGGAGGGAAGGAUCGCGAAAGAGUGGGCGAGGAAGCGAACAGCGAGCGUCCGGGAGCCGGAGGCCUGCUGGGUGCCGGGGCGCCCGCCCAGCCUCCCUCGCACUCUAGACUGUACGUGGUGGGUACCAGAAACGAGACUCGGCCAAGUCCUGCCCCACCAGGCAACCUCCACAUGGAAGCUUGGAAGGACCUGUGCUGACCUGCAGG